rnacentral:misc_RNA from 1 species
CUAUCAAAUUCUCAACCCCAAAAUACUAGGGCAUUAAAUAACAAAAGUUGAGAUCCGCAUCAGUAUCUUAGCAAAAAAUUGUUAUCCAUUUUUCCUGGAAGUGAUUCUAUAACAUAUAAAGGUCUAAAUGAAAGAAGUGAAAUAAUGAAGUCACUAAAAUAGGCAUCAUCUCUAUCCCUGGGGUGCUGCGUUAACAGGGUGAAUACCCAGGAACCUUGUGAGUGCUACCUACGGCCACCUAAAACAGUCUAGUGGAUUUAAAAGCCAAAGAAGCCAAGUUCACUGGCUCUUUCCUUCUCAAAAGUCUCGAAGUACUGAUAUAUAAU